rnacentral:rRNA from 1 species
CGAAACCGAUAGCGAACAAGUACCGUGAGGGAAAGUUGAAAAGUACUCUGAAUAGAGAGUUAAAUAGUACGUGAAACCGCUUAGGGGUUAAGCCCGAUGAACCCGAAUAUCUGAUGUGAGAAAUUCAAUACGAUUCAAAUUCAUAUUUUUAUAUUGAAUUUGUAUAGUAUGCACUUUUCUCAUAGUAAGACAUUGUAAUCCAUUGAUAUUAUAUCUCAUUUGGGAUGAUUUAACAUACGGACAAAAUGUUUAUGAUUAUUCUGUCAGUGAUAUGUUUACAUGUCAUAUGAAUAAAAUCGUUUUGUUUCCUGUUUAAAUAGUCGAUGGAUUUUUCAUUGAAAUCAUGCUUGCAAUUUAUUUUGCGUUUCGUAUCAUUAAUUUUUAAUUUUUGAUAGCAGAAAUGGCAUGUAUUCGAUUAACAAUGCGAUAGAUUUGGGAUACUUUCAGGACCCGUCUUGA